rnacentral:rRNA from 1 species
AGAGUUUGAUCCUGGCUCAGAGCGAACGCUGGCGGCAGGCCUAACACAUGCAAGUCGAGCGCCCCGCAAGGGGAGCGGCAGACGGGAGAGUAACACGUGGGAACGUGCCCUUCAGUUCGGAACAACCCAUUGAAAAGUGGGCUAAUACCGAAUACGUCCGAAAGGAGAAAGAUUUAUCGCUGAAGGAUCGGCCCGCGUCU